rnacentral:rRNA from 1 species
UACGUAGGGUGCGAGCGUUGUCCGGAAUCAUUGGGCGUAAAGAGCUCGUAGGCGGCUUGUCGCGUCGACCGUGAAAACUUGGGGCUCAACCCCAAGCCUGCGGUCGAUACGGGCAGGCUCGAGUUCGGUAGGGGAGACUGGAAUUCCUGGUGUAGCGGUGAAAUGCGCAGAUAUCAGGAGGAACACCGAUGGCGAAGGCAGGUCUCUGGGCCGAUACUGACGCUGAGGAGCGAAGGCGUGGGGAGCGAACAGG